ACCAGAUUCAUUUUCAUAUGUUAAAUCCGGAGUUUCCUGUACUUGGCACUCUAGUGAAAGGAUACUGAGCCCGUGGGGUCACAGGCUUGGCAGGGCUGGGCAGAGAGCAGGUUGUCAUCUCCUUAUUGAACUCAGUGAACGGAGCGCAGAGAGAAAGUCUUGUGUGUGAGGAGUGUGCAGCCUUCCCUGCCUUCUCCAGGCAAGAAAGUGUAGACUCUGAGUUGCUACCAUUGUUAACUCCAGUGGGGUGGUCCUGGUGGUCCUCCGCAGCCACCCUCAUGAGAACAAAAGCCUUUCUGGCCUGGGCGGAGAGUCCGAUGCCUGCCACAGUCCACAGAGCCUUUCAUUCACUUCCUGCUAUGGAUUGCCGCAGCAGCUUCCAGCUCCUCCCUUUCUUCCAUUUCUCUGUGUGACAGCAUUCUGUCGUAGGCUCUGCAGUCUUCUUGAAAGCUGUAGACUGGAAGCUUUCCGGUGUCCUUGGGAAGAA
rnacentral:lncRNA from 1 species